UGCGGCAGUGGCACAACCUGGUUACUGCGCGGGUCUCGAAUGUCCGAGAGCUAACCCGUUUCCGCAAGGAUAUCCCGGUUCAAAUCCGGGCUGCCGCGU
rnacentral:tRNA from 1 species